rnacentral:rRNA from 1 species
UGGAUGUUAGCAGUUACUUGGAUAACUGAGGUAAUUCUUGAGCUAAUACAUGCGAAAAAUCCCGACUCACGAAGGGAUGCUUUUAUUAGAUCAAAACCAAACAGCUUCGGCUGUAACACUGGUGACUCUGAAUAACUUUGGGCUGAUCGCAUUGCCUUGAGCAGGCGACAUUUCCUUCGAAGGUGUGCCCUACCAACUGUCGACUGUGAUAUAGACGCUCACAGUGGUUUUGACGGGUAACGGGGAAUCAGGGUUCGAUUCCGGAGAGGGAGCCUUAAAAACGGCUACCACAUCCAAGGAAGGCAGCAGGCACACAAAUUACCCAAUGAACGAAGUUCGAGGUAGUGACGAAAAAUAACAAUACAAGACUCAUCCGAGGCCUUGUAAUUGGAAUGAGUACACUUUAAAACCGUUUCACGAGGAUCUAUUGGAGGGCAAGUCUGGUGCCAGCAGCCGCGGUAAUUCCAGCUCCAAUAGCGUAUAUUAAAGUUGUUGUGGUUAAAAAGCUCGUAGUUGGAUUUCGGCGGGUAUUGGUUGGUUUGAAUUGCUUCAACACUGACUUUUUUACCCGUGUGUUUUGCCAGAAUUUAGCGGGUGAUCUUCGCCGAUUGUCCGUUGGAACUGGUAGGUUUACAUUGAAAAAAUUAGAGUGCUCAAAGCAAGCUUACUGCUUGAAUAGUUGCGCAUGGAAUAAUAGAAUAGGAAGUCGUUUCUAUUUUGUUGGUUUUCGGAAAUCGACUUAAUGAUUAAUAGGGAUAGUCGGGGGCAUUCGUAUUCAAACGGCAGAGGUGAAAUUCUUGGACCGUUUGAAGACGAACUAAUGCGAAAGCAUUUGCCAAGAAUGUUUUCAUUAAUCAAGAACGAAAGUUAGAGGUUCGAAAGGCGAUUAGAUACCGCCCUAGUUCUAACCAUAAACGAUGCCAGCUAGCGAUCUGCCGGCGUUUAAUUUUCUGACUUGGCAGGAGCUUCCGGGAAACCAAAGCUUGUGGGU